CGAGUGAAGCGGGAAAAGCUCAAAUUUAAAAUCUGGUGGUCUUUGGCCAUCCGAGUUGUAAUCUAGAGAAGUGUUACCCGCGUUGGACCGUGUACAAGUCUCCUGGAAUGGAGCGUCAUAGAGGGUGAGAAUCCCGUCUUUGACACGGACUACCAAGGCUUUGUGGUAUGCUCUCAACGAGUCGAGUUGUUUGGGAAUGCAGCUCAAAAUGGGUGGUAAAUUCCAUCUAAAGCUAAAUAUAGGCGAGAGACCGAUAGCGAACAAGUACCGUGAGGGAAAGAUGAAAAGAACUUUGGAAAGAGAGUUAAACAGUACGUGAAAUUGCUGAAAGGGAAACGCUGGAAGUCAGUCGCGUUGGCUAGGAAUCAACCUUACUCUUUUGUAGGGCUUACUUCUUAGUUGACGGGCCAACAUCAAUUUUGAUUGCUGGAAAAAGGCUUAGGGAAUGUGGCACCUUCGGGUGUGUUAUAGCCCUAGGUCGUAUACAGUGAUUGGGAUUGAGGAACGCAGCACGCCGAAAGGUUGGGUUUCGACCACACUCGUGCUUCGGAUGUUGGCAUAAUGGCUUUCAUCGACCCGUCUUGAAACACGGACCAAGGAGUCUAACAUGCCUGCGAGUGUUUGAGUGGAAAACUCGAGCGCAUAAUGAAAGUAAUAGUUGAGAUCUCUGUCAUGGAGAGCAUCGACGCCCGGACCUGAUGUUUACUGACGGUUCUGCGGUAGAGCAUGUAUGUUGGGACCCGAAAGAUGGUGAACUAUGCCUGAAUAGGGUGAAGCCAGAGGAAACUC
rnacentral:rRNA from 1 species